GACGAACGCUGGCGGCGUGCUUAACACAUGCAAGUCGAGCGGUAAGGCCCUUUCGGGGGUACACGAGCGGCGAACGGGUGAGUAACACGUGGGUGACCUGCCCUCAGCUCUGGGAUAAGCCUGGGAAACUGGGUCUAAUACUGGAUAUGACUCCACGGUGCAUGUCGUGGGGUGGAAAGCCUUGUGCGGCUGAGGAUGGGCCCGCGGCCUAUCAGCUUGUUGGUGGGGUGANGGCCUACCAAGGCGACGACGGGUAGCCGGCCUGAGAGGGCGACCGGCCACACUGGGACUGAGAC
rnacentral:rRNA from 1 species